AGUUAUCUGCUGUGUUGGUGUAAUGUACUCAGGUGAAUAAGAUGUUUGUGUGAUGUUACUCUGAGUGCAUAUCCACACCGGGCAGGCUUGAAAAACAUGCCUGGCCACGGCGGGAUUCGAACCUACGACCUUUGGAAUACUAGCCGAAUGCUCUUCCAACUGAGCUACGCGGUCAGGACGGUUCGAGUAAGCGAUAUUUCGGAACUGAGCCUAGUUCCUUCGAUAUCAGUGUAAUCUAAUAUUUAUGAAAUCUGCUGUGUUGGUGUAAUGUACUCAGGUGAAUAAGAUGUUUGUGUGAUGUUACUCUGAGUGCAUAUCCACACCGGGCAGGCUUGAAAAACAUGCCUGGCCACGGCGGGAUUCGAACCUACGACCUUUGGAAUACUAGCCGACCUUUGGAAUACCUAGCAUUCGGCUAG